AUUGAACGCUGGCGGCAGGCCUAACACAUGCAAGUCGAACGGUAACAGGACUAGCUUGCUAGUUGCUGACGAGUGGCGGACGGGUGAGUAACGCGUAGGAAUCUGCCUAAUAGUGGGGAAUAGCCCGAGGAAACUCGGAUUAAUACCGCAUGAACCUUACGAGGUAAAGAGGGCCUCUUCUUGAAAGCUCUCGCUAUUAGAUGAGCCUGCGUUGGAUUAGCUUGUUGGUGAGAUAAAGGCUCACCAAGGCGACGAUUCAUAGCUGUUCUGAGAGGAAGAUCAGCCACACUGGGACUGAGACACGGCCCAGACUCCUACGGGAGGCAGCA
rnacentral:rRNA from 1 species